rnacentral:rRNA from 1 species
GACAGAGGUGCCGAGCGUUAGGCGGAAUCACUGGGCUUAAAGCGUGUAUAGGCGGGCCGUUAAGUAUCUUGUGAAAUCCCCCGGCUCAACCGGGGAAUGGCUGGAUAUACUGGCGGUCUUGAGCGAUCUAGGGGCAGAUGGAACAGACGGUGGAGCGGUGAAAUGCGUAGAUAUCGUCUGGAACGCCAAAGGUGAAGACAGUCUGCUGGGGAUCUGCUGACGCUGAGACACGAAAGCCAGGGGAGCGAACGGG